rnacentral:rRNA from 1 species
AACGAACGCUGGCGGCAUGCCUAACACAUGCAAGUCGAACGAGACCUUCGGGUCUAGUGGCGCACGGGUGCGUAAAGCGGGGGAACCUGCCCUUAGGUACAGAAUAACUCCCCGAAAGGGGUGCUAAUACCGGAGAAUGUCUUCGGACCAACGAUUUAUCGCCUUUGGAUGGGCCCGCGUUGGAUUAGCUAGUUGGUAGGGUAAAAGCCUAUCAAGGCGACGAUCCAUAGCUGGUCUGAGAGGAUGAUCCGCCACACUGGAACUGCGACACGGCCCAGACUCCUACGGGAGGCAGCAGUGGGGAAUAUUGGACAAUGGGCGAAAGCCUGAUACAGCCAUGCCGCGUGAGUGAUGAAGGCCUUAGGGUUGUAAAGCUCUUUUACCCGGGAUGAUAAUGACAGUACCGGGAGAAUAAGCUCCGGCUAACUACGUG